AAUAAAGGCUUUCUCCGAACCUCAUUUCCUAAAGUAAAAACUAUGGAAUAGAGGUCUGGACUUUGUCCACGAAGUAGUAGAAGAAAUUUUAUUACUUGCUGUUUGGCGAAGGAGAUGCACGAGAAAUAGA
rnacentral:ncRNA from 2 species